CCUACGGGAGGCAGCAGUGGGGAAUAUUGCACCAUGCGGGGAACCCUCGUGCAGCGACGGCGCGGGAGUGAAGAAGUAUUUCGGUACGUAAAGUGCUAUCAGAAGGGAAGAAAAUGACGGUACCUGACUAAGAAGCCCCGGCUAACUACGUGCCAGCAGCCGCGGUAAUACGUAGGGGGCAAGCGUUAUCCGGAUUUACUGGGUGUAAAGGGAGCGUAGACGGCAGCGAAAGACUGAAGUGAAAUCCCAUGGCUUAACCAUGGAACUGUUUUGGAAACUGUGCAGCUGGAGUGCAGGAGAGGUAAGCGGAAUUGCUAGUGUAGGGGUGAAAUGCGUAGAUAUUAGGAGGAACACCAGUGGCGAAGGCGGCUUACUGGACUGGAACUGACGUUGAGGCUCGAAAGCGUGGGGAGCAAACAGGAUUAGAUACCCUGGUAGUC
rnacentral:rRNA from 1 species